UAGGGAAUCUUCCGCAAUGGACGCAAGUCUGACGGAGCAACGCCGCGUGAGUGAAGAAGGAUUUCGGUUCGUAAAACUCUGUUGUUAGAGAAGAACAGCGCAUAGAGUAACUGUUAUGCGUGUGACGGUAUCUAACCAGAAAGCCACGGCUAACUACGUGCCAGCAGCCGCGGUAAUACGUAGGUGGCAAGCGUUGUCCGGAUUUAUUGGGCGUAAAGCGAGCGCAGGCGGUCAAUUAAGUCUGAUGUGAAAGCCCCCGGCUCAACCGGGGAGGGUCAUUGGAAACUGGUUGACUUGAGUGCAGAAGGGGAGAGUGGAAUUCCAUGUGUAGCGGUGAAAUGCGUAGAUAUAUGGAGGAACACCGGUGGCGAAGGCGGCUCUCUGGUCUGUAACUGACGCUGAGGCUCGAAAGCGUGGGGAGCGAACAGG
rnacentral:rRNA from 1 species